rnacentral:rRNA from 1 species
AGUGAACGCUGGCGGUAGGCCUAACACAUGCAAGUCGAACGGCAGCACAGUAAGAGCUUGCUCUUACGGGUGGCGAGUGGCGGACGGGUGAGGAAUACAUCGGAAUCUACUUUUUCGUGGGGGAUAACGUAGGGAAACUUACUCUAAUACCGCAUACGACCUACGGGUGAAAGCAGGGGAUCUUCGGACCUUGCGCGAUUGAAUGAGCCGAUGUCGGAUUAGCUAGUUGGCGGGGUAAAUGCCCACCAAGGCGACGAUCCGUAGCUGGUCUGAGAGGAUGGUCAGCCACACUGGAACUGAGACACGGUCCAGAGUCCUACGGGAGGCAGCAGUGGGGAAUAUUGGACAAUGGGCGCAAGCCUGAUCCAGCCAUACCGAGUGGGUGACGAAGGCGUUCGGGUUGUAAAGCCCUUUUGUUGGGAAAGAAAAGCAGCAGGUUAAUACGCCGCUGUUCUGACGGUAACCAAAGAAUAAGCACCGGCUAACUUCGUG